AGAGGUUGCUUUUGGCUCAGGACGAACGCUGGCGGCGCGCCUAACACAUGCAAGUCGAACGGAGUUAUUUUGGCAGAGGCCUUCGGGCGGACGCUGAUGUAACUUAGUGGCGAACGGGUGAGUAACACGUGAGCAACCUGCCCUUCAGAGGGGGACAACAGUUGGAAACGACUGCUAAUACCGCAUAAGACCACGGUGUGGCAUCACACAGAGGUCAAAGGAGAAAUCCGCUGAAGGAUGGGCUCGCGUCCAAUUAGCUAGAUGGUGAGGUAACGGCCCACCAUGGCGACGAUUGGUAGCCGGACUGAGAGGUUGAACGGCCACAUUGGGACUGAGACACGGCCCAGACUCCUACGGGAGGCAGCAGUGGGGAAUAUUGCACAAUGGAGGAAACUCUGAUGCAGCGACGCCGCGUGAGGGAAGAAGGCCUUCGGAUUGUAAACCUCUGUUGUCAGGGACGAUAAUGACGGUACCUGACGAGGAAGCCACGGCUAACUACGUGCCAGCAGCCGCGGUAAAACGUAGGUGGCAAGCGUUGUCCGGAAUUACUGGGUGUAAAGGGAGCGCAGGCGGGAGAACAAGUUGGGAGUGAAAUCUGUGGGCUCAACUCACAAAUUGCUUUCAAAACUGUUUUUCUUGAGUGGUGUAGAGGUAGGCGGAAUUCCCGGUGUAGCGGUGGAAUGCGUAGAUAUCGGGAGGAACACCAGUGGCGAAGGCGGCCUACUGGGCACUAACUGACGCUGAGGCUCGAAAGCAUGGGUAGCAAACAGGAUUAGAUACCCUGGUAGUCCAUGCCGUAA
rnacentral:rRNA from 1 species